CCUACGGGCGGCAGCAGUGAGGAAUAUUGGUCAAUGGACGAGAGUCUGAACCAGCCACGUAGCGUGAAGGAUGACUGCCCUAUGGGUUGUAAACUUCUUUUAUAUGGGAAUAAAAUGUUCCACGUGUGGGAUUUUGUAUGUACCAUAUGAAUAAGGAUCGGCUAACUCCGUGCCAGCAGCCGCGGUAAUACGGAGGAUCCGAGCGUUAUCCGGAUUUAUUGGGUUUAAAGGGAGCGUAGGUGGAUUGUUAAGUCAGUUGUGAAAGUUUGCGGCUCAACCGUAAAAUUGCAGUUGAAACUGGCAGUCUUGAGUACAGUAGAGGUGGGCGGAAUUCGUGGUGUAGCGGUGAAAUGCUUAGAUAUCACGAAGAACUCCGAUUGCGAAGGCAGUUCACUGGACUGCAACUGACACUGAGGCUCGAAAGUGUGGGUAUCAAACAGGAUUAGAUACCCGUGUAGUC
rnacentral:rRNA from 1 species